AUUGAACGCUGGCGGCAUGCUUUACACAUGCAAGUCGAACGGUAACAGGCCGCAAGGUGCUUACGACUGGCGGCCGGUGGAGUACUGCUUCGGAACGCGUCCGGACGUAGUGGAUAAUUAGUCGAAAGAGUAGCUAAUACACCCUACGAUCUCUUGAUGAAAACGGGGGACCGUAAGGCCUCUUCGGAUCUUGCCCGCCGAUGUCAGAUUAGGUAGUUGGUGGGGUAAAGGCUCACCAAGCCCACGAUCUGUAGCUGGUCUGAGAGGACGACCAGCCACACUGGGACUGAGACACGGCCCAGACUCCUACGGGAGGCAGCAGUGGGGAAUUUUGGACAAUGGGCGCAAGCCUGAUCCAGCAAUGCCGCGUGCGGGAAGAAGGCCUUCGGGUUGUAAACUGCUUUUGUACGGAACGAAACGGAGCUGGUUAAUACCCGGGGGUAAUGACGGUACCGAAAGAAUAAGCACCGGCUAACUACGUG
rnacentral:rRNA from 1 species